rnacentral:rRNA from 1 species
GUUGAACGCUGGCGGCAGGCCUAACACAUGCAAGUCGAGCGGAUGAAGGGGGCUUGCUCCUGGAUUCAGCGGCGGACGGGCGAGUAAUGCCUAGGAAUCUGCCUGGUCGUGGGGGAUAACGUCAGGAAACGAGCGCUAAUACAGCACACGUCCUGAGGUAGAACGGGAGGGAUCUUCGGACCUAACGCUAUCAGAUGAGCCUAGGUCGGAUUAGCUAGUUGGUUGGGUAAAGGCCUACCAAGGCGACGAUCCGUAGCUGGCCUGAGAGGAUGAUCAGCCACACUGGAACUGAGACACGGUCCAGACUCCUACGGGAGGCAGCAGUGGGGAAUAUUCGACAAUGGGCGAAAGCCUGACGCAGCCACGCCGCGUGUGUGAAGAAGGUCUUCGGAUUGUAAAGCACUGUAAGUUGGGAGGAAGGGCAGUAAGAGAAUAUAUGGCUGUUUUGACGGUACCAACAGAGAAAGCACCGGCUAACUACGUG